AUUGAACGCUGGCGGCAUGCUUUACACAUGCAAGUCGAACGGUAACAGGCCGCAAGGUGCUGACGAGUGGCGAACGGGUGAGUAAUGCAUCGGAACGUGCCCAGUCGUGGGGGAUAACGCAGCGAAAGCUGCGCUAAUACCGCAUACGAUCUAUGGAUGAAAGCGGGGGACCGUAAGGCCUCGUGCGAUUGGAGCGGCCGAUGUCAGAUUAGGUAGUUGGUGGGGUAAAGGCUCACCAAGCCAACGAUCUGUAGCUGGUCUGAGAGGACGACCAGCCACACUGGGACUGAGACACGGCCCAGACUCCUACGGGAGGCAGCAGUGGGGAAUUUUGGACAAUGGGCGCAAGCCUGAUCCAGCAAUGCCGCGUGCAGGAAGAAGGCCUUCGGGUUGUAAACUGCUUUUGUACGGAACGAAACGGCUCUGGUUAAUACCUGGGGCUAACGACGGUACCGUAAGAAUAAGCACCGGCUAACUACGUGACAGCCGCCGCCGUAA
rnacentral:rRNA from 1 species